rnacentral:rRNA from 1 species
GGAAGGAUCAUUAUCGUACAACUGAGGUGCGAGGGCUGUCGCUGACCUUGUGUCGUGCACGCCCGAGUGCUCUCAAACAUCCAUCUCACCCCUAUGUGCACCACCGCGUGGGUCCCCUUUUGGCUCGUUCAGAGGGGGGCUCGCGUUUUCACACAAACUUGAUACAGUGUAGAAUGUCUUCCUUUGCGAUCACACGCAAUUAAUACAACUUUCAACAACGGAUCUCUUGGCUCUCGCAUCGAUGAAGAACGCAGCGAAAUGCGAUACGUAAUGUGAAUUGCAGAAUUCAGUGAAUCAUCGAAUCUUUGAACGCACCUUGCGCCCCUUGGCAUUCCGAGGGGCACACCCGUUUGAGUGUCGUGAAAUUCUCAAAAACCUUUCUUUGGAAAGGAUUUUGGACUUGGAGGCCUUUUGCUGGUUUCACCUUGAAGCGAGCUCCUCCCAAAUGGAUUAGUGGGGUCUGCUUUGCUGAUCCUUGACGUGAUAAGAUGUUUCUACGUCUUGGGUUUGGCACUGUCACUUGGGCACCCGCUUCUAACCGUCUCAUCGACAAUGAUGGCGUUCCGGUCGACCACCGUUUCAUCGGUGGGAGGCUUGACCCACCACAAACCUUGACCUCAAAUCGGGUGAGACUACCCGCUGAACUUAAGCAUAUCAAUAAGCGGAGGAAAAGAAACUAACAAGGAUUCCCCUAGUAACUGCGAGUGAAGCGGGAAAAGCUCAAAUUUAAAAUCUGGUGGCCUUUGUCCAUCCGAGUUGUAAUUUAGAGAAGCGUCUUCCGCGCUGGACCGUGCACAAGUCUCCUGGAAUGGAGCGUCGUAGAGGGUGAGAAUCCCGUCUUUGGCACGGACACACCAGGGCUUCUGUGAUGCGCUCUCGAAGAGUCGAGUUGUUUGGGAAUGCAGCUCAAAAUGGGUGGUGAACUCCAUCUAAAGCUAAAUAUUGGCGAGAGACGAUAGCGAACAAGUACCGUGAGG